GAUGAACGCUGGCGGCGUGCCUAAUACAUGCAAGUCGAGCGAACAGACGAGGAGCUUGCUCCUCUUACGUUAGCGGCGGACGGGUGAGUAACACGUGGAUAACCUACCUAUAAGACUGGGAUAACUUCGGGAAACCGGAGCUAAUACCGGAUAAUAUAUUGAACCGCAUGGUUCAGUAGUGAAAGACGGUUUUGCUGUCACUUAUAGAUGGAUCCGCGCCGCAUUAGCUAGUUGGUAAGGUAACGGCUUACCAAGGCAACGAUGCGUAGCCGACCCGAGAGGGUGAUCGGCAACGCUGGAACUGAGACACGGCCCAGACUACUACGGGAGGCAGCAGUAGGGAAUCUUCCGCAAUGGGCGAAAGCCUGACGGAGCAACGCCGCGUGAGUGAUGAAGGUCUUCGGAUCGUAAAACUCUGUUAUUAGGGAAGAAAAAAUGUGUAAGUACCUAUGCACGUCUUGACGGUACCUAAUCAGAAAGCCACGGCUAACUACGUG
rnacentral:rRNA from 1 species